UAAGCCCAAGAUACGCGAUAAAAGCUCUACGGUUUUAGGUGACUUCCCGAUCUUUUCCGAUUAUAGUCUCUUCCUGGCAGGUAGAUGACAUCUUCAACAACCCGUUAAUGCAGCUAACUCAAAACUUUCAAAAAUUAAGAUACGCUUUUCUGCACUUUCACCAUCGAUAUGUAUUAUAGACCAAAAGAAUUCAAAUAUGACGGUCUUGAAGCCCCGCGGCCUCGCUAGUAGGGUAGUAGACAAGCCCUAGACUUGUAAAAUUUAAAAUCUUAGGGCCCCCUUUUGCAUUAUCAACAAGGUCCCGAGGGACUCUCUUGUGCUCUCAAGAGCAUUGAGUCAAAGUUUUCAAUCAAUAGUUGACCUUUAUCUUGCCCUAAGGAGCUGUUGUUCCCCAAUCAUUCGAAAAAACUUAUCUGCCGGAGGGAGAUAACGGCCCAUACGUCGUUUCUAAGAUUACCAAAGAAUAUCGCUCCCUAAUUGCAAAAUUAGUCCAAUGCCAUAGUUAAGCAUUUUAUGAGCGUUUAAACUUAAUCGUUUCGCCGCCAAGAGAACGUCACUACUUUCAUCCUCUCUUUGACUCCAUGACCAAAAAAAUUAUGACACUGUAGUAGUGUGGUCUGCGAUCUUGAAUUGGAAGCAGGCACCUUCGUGGGGAUUUUUUUUAUCUUAUUUUCAGAGCUUUAAUUUUACGUAGGAAAUGUAAAACAAAGCCCCAGAAGCAGAGCUUUCAAAACUUUACAGAUGUCAAACUCGAGUGCCGCGUCAGUAAAUUAGUUUAAAAAAGUUAACGAUAAUGUUAUUUGUCGUGGUUAGAAGUGCUCUCUUGAUUGUAGGUGUUGUUUUGGCAUGGGUUUCAGGGGUAGGUCUUGCAGGCGGACAAUAUUUGGGAGCUCAAAUUUGGAGAGUUUACAUGCAGAACGCCACUGACCAAGAAAUAUACCAAGAUUUUGAGAGAAAAUUUCCUGAUUUUACAGCUGUCGUCGAAACGGUCUAUCAAGGAAGAAGCGUAUUGGACGUCCUCGUGAGAGGAUCAAUAUUGGAAAGUGCAAAGGAACACUUUGCAUCCGCCAAGAAGGAGUAUAAAGUUCUCGUCGAUGACGUCGAGGAAAGAAUAAAAAACGAGGACACUCCGAUCACCGACGAAGAAUAUUCUCAAAAACAAGGACGAGGUAGGUGCUAAUUUUAUUAUAUCCGUAAUGACAAGCUUUUGAAGGUAGAUUGAGGAUUUUUAUUUUCAUGAACACCCGUUUAUUGAAAAUAUUUUGAUUUAAAAAAAAAAAAAAAAAAAAAAAAAAAAAAAAAAAAUUCAUGCAUAUACCGAGAGAUCUUAAAGCCCCGCAACACCUCUGUAACCCCUAGGUUUCUUGCCUCUUUUCAGGGUGAGUCCAUUGAAUUUUUUUUUUUUUUUUUUUUUUGAGGGGGGGCGGCCAGAAAAUUGGUUUUUUUUAAUCUACACACUCAAAAUCCAACGCGCCUUCACCGUUCCCCGAGUGUUGUCCACUUUUGAACGGAUUACUUAAAGAUUGGUGUACGGAUAAAACGUAUGUACCCUCUAAUUGGAUUAUCAUUUUACGAUGAUAUUAUUUAAGGCGCUUUUUUAUGCUCCGUUAGAAAACUUAGAACGAAAGCCUGAAACUGAAAGUGAUUAUAUAGACAUAUUCUCACGGCACGUUCUUGCAACACUCAGUGUUGGAAUCCCCUUUUAAAAAAUUUUAUUUCAGUUCUUUUUCCCCUUGUUUUCAACAUUUAUUCCAGGUUACAACUUCACUUAUUCUCAUUAUCAUCCGCUGAGUGACAUUCACGACUACAUAGACUUGUAUCUCGCAGCCUCUCCUUCCACCAAAGUCAACAAUUGGAUACUUGGGCGAAGUUUUGAGAAUGAGAUAUAAAGCUUCUGGAGAUUGUAAACGAUCCGAAUGCACCGUAUAUUUGGAUCGAUGGAGGUAUGAAUUUUUGUCCGAAUCCAAGUAGCAAAAUAAAAUUUUUUCCUAGAAAAAAAAUUAAGAAAACUUCUAGAAAAUACCAAGAAAAUGAGAGUAAUCUAGAAAUAGAAAUAAAAAACGUUUCAUAGGUCUACUUUCUGUCAACUCUCCAUUUGGAAAAAAGAUAGAGAAUUUGUUGAAAAUAGUAUUAUUUUCUAGCCAAUUUCUUAAUGUUUUCUUUUAAGAAAAUGCAAGGAAAAAAUAUAUUUUCUUCCUAUUUUCUUGUGUCUAUUUUCUAGAUCUACUUUAUACCUAUUUUCUUUCAAGAAAUUGUUCUAUCUAGAAAGUAGACAUUUUCUUGAUGAGCGCCACCUAGAAUGUAGAUGACAAUGCUACUUGGGAAAAUAAAAAAGUCCAAUAUAGAUACGCCAAAAUUAAAAAAUA
rnacentral:lncRNA from 1 species